GCCUUCGUGGUGUAGUGGUCAGCACGCUCGACGCGUAACCGAGAGAUCUGUGGUUCGAUUCCCGGUGAAGGCG
rnacentral:tRNA from 1 species